UACGUAGGGAGCGAGCGUUGUCCGGAAUUACUGGGUGUAAAGGGAGCGUAGGCGGGACGGCAAGUCAGGUGUGAAAUACAUGGGCUCAACCCAUGGGCUGCACUUGAAACUGUUGUUCUUGAGUGAAGUAGAGGUAAGCGGAAUUCCUGGUGUAGCGGUGAAAUGCGUAGAUAUCAGGAGGAACACCGGUGGCGAAGGCGGCUUACUGGGCUUUUACUGACGCUGAGGCUCGAAAGCGUGGGGAGCAAAC
rnacentral:rRNA from 1 species